rnacentral:rRNA from 1 species
GACGAAGGUGGCAAGCGUUGCUCGGAAUCACUGGGCAUAAAGCGCGCGUAGGUGGCCUGACAAGUCGGUGGUGAAAUCCCAUGGCUUAACCAUGGAACUGCCGUCGAUACUGUCGGGCUUGAGGACGGUAGGGGAGAGUGGAACUCCUGGUGUAGCGGUGAAAUGCGUAGAUAUCAGGAGGAACGCCGGUGGCGAAAGCGACUCUCUGGGCCGCUCCUGACACUGAGGCGCGAGAGCUAGGGGAGCAAACAGG